rnacentral:tRNA from 1 species
UUCAUCAUGGUCUAAUGGUAUGACGCCGCCCUUUCAAGGCGGAAGCUCGGGUUCGAUUCCCGGUGAUGAAA